AUGUAGGGCAUUCUGUCUUUAAGUAGAGAUAAAUUACUCUUGAACAAAAUUAUCCUAGAUCAUUUUCUCUUCAAGUCAAACUUCUUGU
rnacentral:pre_miRNA from 1 species